GGACACUUGCUGCAUUGAAAUUCUUCCCAAUUUUGAAAGAUCAAAACGAGUAAUUUGUCUGAGCUUCUGGGCUGAGGUACACUACAAUUCGAUAUACCCUGAAGGAGGUUGGUCCGCAUGCUGAUA